UGCCACAGCUUCAGACUCAUCACCUAUACACCUCCAGCUUGGAUAGGGAACAUAUCUACCCAGGCAGGAGCUCCCACGCACAUCCUGUAAGUCAUGCUGAUUGUACUGGUUUGGGUCAGAUGCCCAUCCUGGAAUCAGACGCUGUGGCCGGAGGGAUUAAGUUGUGCUGAUUGGUCAGAACUGGGCCAGCGUUCCUCCCGGCCAGCGCCUUGUGGACUGGGAAGCUUGGGACAGCGUAACCAGGAGACGAGGAAAUGGAUUCUGUAAAAUAAUACAAACCACGUGCCCAUCCAAAUGCACUGUCUGAAUUCGGCCUCCCUGGAAAUGUGGACCAUUAGGCAAACAGUUGAAAAGAAGUAUUAACCAAAAGACAAAAAGGAAACUUGGUAAGAUAUUACUUUUCUUCAAGAGAUAUUUUCUAAAAGGUAAAAACUGCUUUGGGGGAGGUAAAUAAUAAAAAAGCAAAUGGCACAGAAUCCAGCAAAGUAAAAACAAAAAUCCACGUGCCCAAAUUACACUCCCCAGUAAUUUCUAUUUAUGUGAGCUCUUAAAAUUCAUUGAGGAGACAUCAGUGCAUGCUCCU